rnacentral:rRNA from 1 species
GAGUUUGAUCGUGGCUCAGGACGAACGCUGGCGGCGUGCUUAACACAUGCAAGUCGAACGGAGAUUUUAUUUCGGUAAAUCUUAGUGGCGAACGGGUGAGUAACGCGUAGGCAACCUGCCCCACAGCCGGGGACAACUUCCCGAAAGGGAGGCUAAUACCGGAUACGAACCGGGCAUCGCAUGAUGCCGGGUUGAAAGAUGGCCUCUAUGUAUAAGCUAUCGCUGUGGGAUGGGCCUGCGUCCGAUUAGCUGGUUGGUGAGGUAACGGCUCACCAAGGCGACGAUCGGUAGCCGGUCUGAGAGGAUGAACGGCCACAUUGGGACUGAGACACGGCCCAGACUCCUACGGGAGGCAGCAGUGGGGAAUCUUCCGCAAUGGACGCAAGUCUGACGGAGCAACGCCGCGUGAGGGA